CGAAAAACCAAGAAUGCAAACUACUAUACAAAUGGUGCAAGUAGAGUGAUUGUGGUGUAGAAUAAGGGAAGCUAAAGUUAUCAGCAUAGGAUAAGAAAUUUAGUGGAACAGAGUCCAAGGAUGGUGGUUAAAUAGCAAUAACUACUACACAUGAAGUGGAAGUAGUACUCACACUACCUAGAUCGUGAGAAAAAUAGUAGCCCACCAUGCAUGUUCAUAGUAGCUCAUAUGACAUAGAAUAACAAGGAUAUGUAUCAGAACUAAGUAACACUCAUGUCAUCGCUACUUAGGAUGUGAGUGAAGUGGUAGCACUACCUACCAUGCAUGGCAAGAAUGACCAAUGUUGCAUAAAGUAGCAAGGAUAAGUAUCAAGGUUAAGUGAUGACACAUAUCCUAGCAAUUAAUAAGAGCCAUUUAAAAAUAUUGGAUUGUAAUGCUAAAAAACCUACUUCGUAGGGAUUAAUUGCGAUACUAAAAAGUCCUACGGGGUUAAAUGUGAUACUAUGGAUCUUGCCAAAAGGAUAUUAUGGUCAUAAUUAAAAGAUUGUUGAGUUAAACAUAACAUUUUCAAAUAGAACUCAUGAAUAUGAAAACGUAUAUCUAAGCAAUAUUCAAUGUUCUAGAUUGGUUUGCUGAAGUAGAAUGAUUUUAUUUAUAUGCUUAUUAUUAGACAGAAAACUUAUUUAAUUUAUUUUAUGAAUUAUCCGGUUAAAGAAGUUUUACCUACUGGAUAGUUAAGUUUAUUAUUUGGUCUCUUCUUUUCUUACACAUUCAGAGAAUUGGUCGUUGAUGAGGUGUUGCCAUCGAAAUGGGAUUAGAAGCGUGAGCAAAACAGAGUGACAUGGCUUAGAAUUAGAAUAUGUAUUCAUAAUUUAUUAUUGAAGAUAUUUUAUAGGUUUCUUAUUUUGAUGGAAGAUUCUUAUGAACAAAAAAAAUUCCUCCCAUAAAAAAAACAAAAAAAAAAUUCUGAAUAUUUCUUAGUAGCCAGAUAUAUUAUUUAUUAAAAUUUGAAUUUGAAUUAUUUUUAUUUUAUUUUAUUACAUUAUUUAUGAAAUCAUGUUGAAAGUCUUGUAUGCUUCAGUUGAGUAUGCAGCGGUCAUUACAUUUGUCUCGUGAUUUCGGAUUCAGAACAUGACACCACCAACCAUUAAUAUUAUAUUUUAAAAUAGUUUUAGUAGUAUAGGUCAUAAUCAAUAGUGUAGUUGUUUAAAUUGGAUUUGAGAGGAGCAGUGUGUGUGCAUGUUUUAAAUGCCAUUGUAGUAAGGCAGUCGAA
rnacentral:lncRNA from 1 species